AGAGUUAGCCGGUGCUCCUUUGGGGUACCGUCAUUUUUUCUUCCCCUCCGACAGUCGUUUACAACCCUAAGGCCGUCUUCCGACACGCGGUAUCGCUCCGUCAGGCUUUCGCCCAUUGCGGAAAAAUUCCUCA
rnacentral:rRNA from 1 species